rnacentral:tRNA from 1 species
AUCUGGCUGGCUUAGUCCGUGGAGCAUAUAACUUUUAAUCUCAGGUUUGUGAGUUCAAGCCUCAUGCUGGAUG